GGAGUCUGGGCCGUGUCUCAGUCCCAAUGUGGCCGUUCAUCCUCUCAGACCGGCUACCGAUCGUCGCCUUGGUAGGCCGUUACCCCACCAACCAGCUAAUCGGACGCAGGCCCAUCCCCCAGCGAUAGCUUAUAAAUAGAGGCCAUCUUUCAAAGAACCACCAUGCGAUGGCUCCUUCGUAUCCGGUAUUAGCACCCCUUUCGGAAUGUUGUCCCCGUCUGGAGGGCAGGUUGCCUACGCGUUACUCACCCGUUCGCCACUAGGAUUCUGCCGAAACAAAAUCCCCGUUCGACUUGCAUGUGUUAGGCACGCCGCCAGCGUUCAUC
rnacentral:rRNA from 1 species